rnacentral:rRNA from 1 species
GAUGAACGCUGGCGGCGUGCCUAAUACAUGCAAGUCGAACGAAACUUCUUUAUCACCGAGUGCUUGCACUCACCGAUAAAGAGUUGAGUGGCGAACGGGUGAGUAACACGUGGGCAACCUGCCCAAAAGAGGGGGAUAACACUUGGAAACAGGUGCUAAUACCGCAUAACCAUAGUUACCGCAUGGUAACUAUGUAAAAGGUGGCUAUACUACCGCUUUUGGAUGGGCCCGCGGCGCAUUAGCUAGUUGGUAGGGUAAAGGCUUACCAAGGCAAUGAUGCGUAGCCGAAUUGAGAGGUUGAUCGGCCACAUUGGGACUGAGACACGGCCCAAACUCCUACGGGAGGCAGCAGUAGGGAAUCUUCCACAAUGGGCGAAAGCCUGAUGGAGCAACGCCGCGUGGGUGAAGAAGGUCUUCGGAUCGUAAAACCCUGUUGCUAGAGAAGAAAGUGCGUGAGAGUAACUGUUCACGUUUCGACGGUAUCUAACCAGAAAGCCACGGCUAACUACGUG